CUAUUUGCAGGUAGAUGGACAUGAAACCAUAAGCACAGAAAGGCAAACAUUUAGGUUUUAUUUUCAAAUCCUGGACAGAAAUAAAAUCUGUGUUUCUUCCAGCGUGCUUGUCCCGGACAGUGGUGCCCAGCUGGGGGCAGAAAGGCAGAGCUGCAUCCCCACCAGGUGGGCAUCAGGUAAUCAACGUCCUGGUGAUUAGAGUCACCUGUGCCCACUUAAAUAAAGCUGCAGCCCCCACAAGAGGAGCUUCUCACAUGCUAGCUGCAGGGUCUUCAGAAACACCUCUCUGCCUGCUCUUCUGUGUGGACACGAGAAAGAACAAGUACAACAGAGCUCAAAAAAAAGCUGGAAUAAGAAAAAGGUUUCCACCCUUAGCCAUCACCUAGAACUAACUGGAACCCGGGCUGCCCAUCCCAGCCCAGGUGCUAAGGACAGGAGGACGUGGGAAACAAUCUGGGACACUGGCAGUGAAGAGUGUGGUGAGGCUGAAGGACGUCAAUAAGGUAAGAAGGCAACACGCCGUACGGGCACCACAAAGGAGAUCAGUCCCCUCCCGUCAGCUUGGCUCUUCCCAUAAACAGUGUAUUUGCAUAACCUCACCUUCAAAAUUUAGAAAUCAAAUAGAGAGCCCAAACAUUUUGACAAUUUUUAUAAAGUAGUCAUGUAAUAGAGUAAACAAAGACAACGCAACGAAUAGUGUCUUUCACCGAAUUCUUGAAAACAGAAAAAACAGAUGGACCAAAACACUGAUGUGCCCCUCAUUUUGGCCACUGAACAAAACAUUUUGUAGUCAAUUUAAGGACAGAUUUGCAAACUGUUUAGGAAGGCUGAUAUGUAGAAAGAAUGUAUUUACACAUGGGAAGAGUCACUUCCAUCUGCCUCCUCACGCAGCACUUGCCUUUUAUUUUCCAACUGGGUAACUACAACCAGUGUUAAGUACGUCGUACACCCGUGUUGUCUGAAAGUCUGGCCCUCUA
rnacentral:lncRNA from 1 species